rnacentral:rRNA from 1 species
GGAGAAGCGUCUUCCGCGCUGGACCGUGUACAAGUCUCCUGGAACGGAGCGUCAUAGAGGGUGAGAAUCCCGUCUUUGACACGGACUACCAGUGCUUUGUGAUGCGCUCUCAAAGAGUCGAGUUGUUUGGGAAUGCAGCUCAAAAUGGGUGGUAAACUCCAUCUAAAGCUAAAUAUUGGCGAGAGACCGAUAGCGAACAAGUACCGUGAGGGAAAGAUGAAAAGCACUUUGGAAAGAGAGUUAAACAGUACGUGAAAUUGCUGAAAGGGAAACGCUUGAAGUCAGUCGCGUUUGCUAGGACUCAGCCUUGCCUCGGCUUGGUGCACUUCCUAGUAAACGGGCCAGCAUCACUUUUGGCUGCGGGAAAAAGGUCAGAGGAAUGUGGCACCUUCGGGUGUGUUAUAGCCUCUGGCUGCAUACCGUGGCUGGGAGUGAGGAACUCAGCACGCCUUACGGCGGGGCUUCGGCCACCUUCGUGCUUAGGAUGCUGGCGUAAUGGCUUUAAACGACCCGUCUUGAAACACGGACCAAGGAGUCUAACAUGCCUGCGAGUGUUUGGGUGGAAAACCCGAGCGCGUAAUGAAAGUGAAAGUUGGGACCUCUGUCGUGGAGGGCACCGACGCCCGGACCAGACCUUCGGUGACGGAUCUGCGGUAGAGCAUGUAUGUUGGGACCCGAAAGAUGGUGAACUAUGCCUGAAUAGGGUGAAGCCAGAGGAAACUCUGGUGGAGGCUCGUAG